UCGCAUUCUUGAGGUGCAGGAUCUCGGC
rnacentral:sRNA from 1 species